UACGUAGGGGGCAAGCGUUGUCCGGAAUCAUUGGGCGUAAAGAGCGUGUAGGCGGCCCGAUAAGUCCGCCGUGAAAGUCCAGGGCUCAACCCUGGAAUGCCGGUGGAAACUGUCGGGCUGGAGUCCGGAAGAGGCGAGUGGAAUUCCUGGUGUAGCGGUGAAAUGCGCAGAUAUCAGGAGGAACACCAAUGGCGAAGGCAGCUCGCUGGGACGGUACUGACGCUGAGACGCGAAAGCGUGGGGAGCAAACAUG
rnacentral:rRNA from 1 species